GCUGGCGGCGUGCCUAAUACAUGCAAGUAGAACGCUGAAGCUUGGUGCUUGCACCGAGCGGAUGAGUUGCGAACGGGUGAGUAACGCGUAGGUAACCUGCCUCUUAGCGGGGGAUAACUAUUGGAAACGAUAGCUAAUACCGCAUAAAAGUCGAUAUCGCAUGAUAUUGAUUUGAAAGGUGCAAUUGCAUCACUAAGAGAUGGACCUGCGUUGUAUUAGCUAGUUGGUGAGGUAACGGCUCACCAAGGCGACGAUACAUAGCCGACCUGAGAGGGUGAUCGGCCACACUGGGACUGAGACACGGCCCAGACUCCUACGGGAGGCAGCAGUAGGGAAUCUUCGGCAAUGGGGGCAACCCUGACCGAGCAACGCCGCGUGAGUGAAGAAGGUUUUUCGGAUCGUAAAGCUCUGUGUAAGAGAAGAACGAGUGUGAGAGU
rnacentral:rRNA from 1 species